CUACGGGGGGCUCCAGUGGGGAAUCUUGGACAAUGGGCACAAGCCUGAUCCAGCCAUGCCGCGUGAGUGAAGAAGGCCUUAGGGUCGUAAAGCUCUUUCGCCAGAGAUGAUAAUGACAGUAUCUGGUAAAGAAACCCCGGCUAACUCCGUGCCAGCAGCCGCGGUAAUACGGAGGGGGUUAGCGUUGUUCGGAAUUACUGGGCGUAAAGCGCGCGUAGGCGGAUUAGUCAGUCAGAGGUGAAAUCCCAGGGCUCAACCCUGGAACUGCCUUUGAUACUGCUAGUCUUGAGUUCGAGAGAGGUGAGUGGAAUUCCGAGUGUAGAGGUGAAAUUCGUAGAUAUUCGGAGGAACACCAGUGGCGAAGGCGGCUCACUGGCUCGAUACUGACGCUGAGGUGCGAAAGUGUGGGGAGCAAACAGGAUUAGAUACCCUCGUAGUC
rnacentral:rRNA from 1 species